UUAAAGGGAUGCCUUUUUCCUUUUGGUUUUACACGUAAUCAUCAAUCUAUAUUUGUGUACUGUAUUUAGUUUUUGCUGAUAUAGGGCUGAGAUUGCAGGUGUUUGCAGCAUGGUUUUUGUCAUUUUGGCACACAAGAGAAGCCUAGCCCAAGCCUCACAAAUCCCUGGUCACUUGAGAUAAGAUGGUAUGCAACAUACGAACUAUGAGUAUUUUGUUUCUUGAAUCUGGUGGUGUGGUGCGGUACGUUGAUUCAGCCCCACCGUGUCACUUGAAUGGAUUGGAUUCUUUGGUUGUCAUUAGGUUCGGGGCCUGGACCUCAUUGUUCAGCUUCAAUUUUUAAGUCAGUCCAACUUGAUGAAUUGCUCGUGGGAAUGGUUCAGGUUCAUACUUGCCACACAAUCCUCUUGCAUGCUAUAUAUAUAUCUCAGAUAUGAGGUACCCAUGUUCUUCCCCUUUUUGGAACGCAAGUCAUCUAAUGUUUUCCGGUUAGAGAUUGGAGGGGGGCAUGGCUGAUUCAGGGUAUGUGUGUAAUCUAUUAGUACCCAUCCAUCUACUGUGUGCCAAAAGAAUUAAAGGAAGAUUCAAUAUUCAUCCAAGCUAUAAGUGUUCUAUCUUGUUUCCUGGACAAAUGGUUGGAUGUCAGGUAAUAUGAAAAUUGUACCUUGAUUUUUUGUUACAAGUCAUCGAUUGUUAUAAUGUUGUAGGUAGGCAGAGUACCAGGGCCUGAUGCAUGCCGAUAUGUGCAAGAAUUACUGUAGCAAUGAGUUGUUUCUUUGUAGUUCAUUCAUGCCAGUAGUUACUCAUCAAUCGAUGGAUAAAAGUGGUAGGAGAUCACAAGCAGCAGUUCCUCCUAUUCGGGACUUUUAUUCUCCAUUUGGCACAUAAGAGCUCUGCAUGGCUUGUGCGUCUAAAGAAGUUGUAUUGUCCUAUUAGCCAUCCAGUGGGGUGGUGGGGCAGUCGAUGCGGUAGGCCUGGAUGAAGCGCGGGAUAGUGACGACCCUGGCGAGGGAGGAGGAGAGGGAGUUGAACUGGGAUGUGAGCUUGAGGCAUCGCGUACAGGUCGGCCAGGCUCUCCAGGAGCUCCCGCCCCCGCUUGUUGUUUCCACAGCUUCACCUUCAGAUAGCACCAGUGCUGAUGCACUUUCAUAUGUUUGUUUAAGGGCACCCCCCAUAAUGCCGCCACACUGUGGCCAUCAACUCCCUCUACAGCCACACGUUUCACCCACUUUGUCCAAGUAGAGGAAAAGAAGGAGAGGGGAACAAGGCACAAAGUUCUUUUUGUCACCAACAAGAUGUUCAAGGAAAUGCCCAUGAGAUAGUAAAAUAUGACUAGGGUGUGCUACUGUCCUAUUGACUCGGAUUUUACAGGUCGAGUACAACAAUAAUCUCUCAGAAGCUUUGCUCUGAUGUUUUUUUGGCAUUCAUGGUGCGUGGUCAUCCAAAGAUUUUGUCAGUGGUUUGCUGGGAAAUACACUGGAGAAACGAGGCUGAUGCGAGCUGGCAAUGGCAGAGGUUCGAGAGGAGCGUGUCGUCGCAACCUCCAGGAGCAGUGUCAGAUGCUGCUUUGCCAGGAGGAACUCUGUCACCAUCGCCAUACUCGCUGCUACAUGGCUGCGAGUGCAUUCACCCAGUAUUGAGGUUCAUAUCUCUCUGUUGCUCCACCCGGAGGUGCGCCGUCUCGGUCGCCGGACGGUCUUCCCUCUACCCCUUAGUAAGGGGAGAAACGAAGGUCUACACAGCGGCAAGACGGAGGUUAGAUCUUUAUUCAUGGUUUUGUAUGGAUAUUUUACUUAAUUGCAGACUGCAAAUGCACUAUUGCUAUCCAGAAGGAGUUGGGGAGGAAGGAUUCCAUGACAAUCCAUCGGUGUUGGCAUGCAACACUUUUCAUUAGGAAAUUGGAAUGACCCUUUUGGUUCCUCCUUGAUGAUGCAGAACUGAGUGGAUUGUAUAUCAGUGCGAACUUCAUGGGAUCGUGUGCCAAAGUAGUCAUAAAAAUCUGGAGGUUGGGGCUUCACCAUCCAAAAUGACCAGGGUGCAUUACUGGCAGUCGGUGCAGGCAAUCUAGAACAUGUUGCUAACCCGCGACAUGCGGAAGCUCUAGCUUUAUAGGAAGCUAUUAUCGUCAUUUAAAUUGGGCCGCCAAACUGAUUCUGAAGCAAGCCAUUUCAAGCAAGGAAUAUGAUCUCAAUAAAUUAGGUACUUUGUUUAGAAAGAUAAAUUUUCAAAUGAGAGUUGGUCUAAAUGUUUUCUGGACUUUAGUUGCGCAUGGAUGCUUUAUUGGGAGUGGCCUUAUAGAGACUUGGCUGAGCCAAUUCUCUUAAUUUGUUUCAAACGCUGUUGCUGGUGAUAUGCCCAACAUGAUGUAGUAAUGGAAUGGACCAGUGUUUAUAUUUUA